rnacentral:rRNA from 1 species
UACGAAGGGGGGCUAGCGUUGUUCGGAAUUACUGGGCGUAAAGCGCACGUAGGCGGACUAUUAAGUCAGGGGGUGAAAUCCCGGGGGCUCAACCCCGGAACUGCCUUUGAUACUGGUAGUCUCGAGUCCGGAAGAGGUGAGUGGAAUUCCGAGUGUAGAGGUGAAAUUCGUAGAUAUUCGGAGGAACACCAGUGGCGAAGGCGGCUCACUGGUCCGGUACUGACGCUGAGGUGCGAAAAGCGUGGGGGAGCAAACAGG